UCGACCUGUCGGCGCCUGCGGGCAGCGGAGGGCGCUUCCGGGGCCUCCCGCCCGGCUCCGCCUCGCGCGGUGGCUCUGGGUGGGCGGGGCCGUGCGCCCGCGGUCGCCUCUCGGGGGAGCGGCGAGACUGUGCGGGUUUCCCCGGGAAGCGCGGUUCUGGGUUCUGCUGUGCGACUCCUAAUGUGUGCUGCACGUUUGCAGGAGAUAGAAGAUGGGGAAGAUGAGAUGUGGGAAGACAAGGACCGUGGAGGUAGAGAUGAGAGCCUAUCAAAAAAACACCUGAUAAACAGAAGAAGGAAAUGGCCAAACAGAAGGCUUCCAUGAAACCAAAAAACAGAAAUUGGAAGGAUUGCCUAUGUUGACUUCAAGUCACAGGCUGAUGCAGAGCAAGCCGUAGAAGAGAAGCAAGGAACAAAGACCGGUGGGCUUGCCAUAGUUCUGGACCAUGCUGGAGAGAAAAGUCAAAGCUAAGAAGAGAGAGGCAGGAAGAACAGAAUGUGUAGAAAAAGUGUGUUGAAGAAAUUUAACCUCAGGCGCCAUUAUGAAACAAACCAUAGUAGGAACCACGAUGGAUAUACAGAAAAGAUGCGUGAUAAAAAAACUUAACGAACUGAAAAAAAGACAGAAAUUUCAACAUGACUUAAUUUUGAACAUGAAUAAAAUAAAUGACGCUGCUAUGAAAUGCAGUUAUAUAUUAAGUGAGAAAAUUGCCCCGGCAUCAAAACCUUUUACAGAUGGCGAGUUUAUAAAGGAAUGUCUGUUGAGUGCAGUGGAAAUUAUGUGCCCUGAACAGAGACAAGCAUUUGCCAGUCUAAGACUAGGUGCUGAUACUAUUUCGCAGCAUGUGGGCCACAUGGCAGAGAACUUACAGGGCAAGCUGCAAGAAAAAGCUAAAUCAUUUGUGGCUUUCUCCAUUGCUGCUCCUGAAAGGGCUGAUGGAGGUAAUCCCUCCCCACCCCAGUUGGCUGUAUUUUUUCGUGGUGUUGAUGAGACUUUGGAUGUGAUGGAAGAACUUUUAGACACAGUUUCCAUGACAGGCACUGCAUCAGGAAAUGAUGUCUGUGUUGAGAAAAAUCUUAAAAAUUUUAAUGUAGACUGGUCACAGUAAAUGUUAGCACAGAUGGCAAUUCUACACUGGUUGGGGUUGAACAGCUUGUUACAAAACUUAAAUCUAGAGUGUCAGGGCUUUGCAAAGACACAGAGCUCAGGUCCGUGCAUGGCCUCAUUCUCUAGGAAUCACUUUGUGCUUAAAAGUUAAAAAUGGAUCAUGUCAUGUACGUAGUGAUUCAUACCAUAACCUGGAUAUUUUCCCAUGGCUCAGACUGCAGCAAGUUCAGUGCUUUGUUCAGUGAGUUAGAUGCACAGUAUGGAAGCCUGUUCUGCCCCAUGGGAUGGAAGUGCCCAUUUUUUGAACUGUUGGAAGAAAUUGAUUAUUUUCAUGUCUUCUAAAGGAAAAUCAGCUCCUCAGCUUACUAGCAAAGAUUGGGUCAAAGACUUACCCUUUUUGGUUGACAUUAUGACUUACCUAAAGACACUGGAUAUUUCUUUGCAAAGGCCUUCACAAGUGGUUACACAGAUGUAGGACUCAAUUCACUCAUUGCUAAUGAAACUGUGUCUUUGUGAAACUCAUUUGGCAAGGAACAGUCUGGCCCACUUCCCUACGCUGAAAUUAGUUUCUGAAAAUGAAAGAGAUGGCCUGAACUAUAUUUCCCGAAUUAAAGAGUUGAAGACUGAAUUCCAAAAACGGUUCUCUGAUUUCAAACUUUAUGAAAAUGAACUGACAUUGUUCAGUUCACCUUUCUCAAUAUUAAUAAUGUGAGCGAAGAGCUAUGGAAGUUCUUGAAUUGCAGUGCAACACUAUACUGAAAAUGAAAUAUGAUGGUGUUGGGAUCCCAGAAUUCUACAAUUAUCUUGGGAAUGGUUACCCUAAAUAUAAAAACCACUAUGCAAAGAUUCUGUCCAUGUGUGGAAGUACCUACAUUUGUGAGCAGCUCUUUUCUGUUAUGAAACAACAUAAAACUAAAUCUUGCUCCUGGUUAAAGACUCGGAGAUGAAUUCUCUGCUGCAUGUUGCUGUGCAAGAUUCACAGCCUGACCUUGAUUGACACCUUGGGGCUUGAGAAGGGAAUAUGAGGUGUUGGAUUUCAAAUCUAAAGAGAAAGGAAUCAUGAAACUUUAAUUAUUUCUACUUCCAAAUUCUAUUUGUCCAAUGUCAAAGUACAAUCUCUGGCAUCAUAUGUUUGUGCUUAUCACAUAUAAAAUAAAGUUUGAUUAUAUCUUGGUA